ACACACACACACACACACACACGUCUGUUCACAUCUGCUGCUCUGCAACAGCAGCAAAAAAGCCGACUCGUCGCUGGACGCACGAGGCCACCAGGUUUGUUACACUGAAGUGGAAGAGAGCUGAAUGAGUCAAAGAGGAACAGUUCUAAUGGCGGCUUUGUGGCUGCGUGGAGGAUGAGUGCAGCAAGGGCGAGGCUGUUGCGGGUAAAAGGCUCUUUGGACAGCGUCUCUUCAUCACCGCCCACAGCUGCUGUUGACUCAAGCGCCCAGGAAUCUCCUCCACGGGUUCACACCCUCCUAACCAGCCAGCCGCACACCAGAGAGCGAGCAAAAGGUCCUGCAAGACCUCAAGGUCUCCAGGAUGCAACAUUUGCUCUGGCAGCGGUCAGCAUAGGUCAGAGGAGGACCGCCGUUAGAGAAGAUUCGUUACCUCAACAGGAUGCUCAUUUCUAGCCUCGUCUCCUUGGCAACUAAAGACACAUCACAACAUGUCUUAUAAUUGAAGUCAAACUCUACGUAGUUUUCUCUCUGCAAUGUUCCAUCUGUCAAACAGCUAAGAGCCCGUUGGUUCACAUACAUGACACGAGUAACACGGACUAGAAGCUUCCUGUCAAAGGGAAAACAAAACAGUGGCUUCAGUCGCACAAAGGAUCCGUCCUUCAUCUCAACCGCUCAGGAAUGUCUUCACAGCCUCCUGCUCAGCCGGCCGCACCGCGGCACACGGAGCCCCGAAGGCCGGCGAGGCCACACGCUGCAAACGGUUACGUGUCACAAAACAGACACUGACCCGCUGAAGAGACUCACUGCGUGUUUGUGUAACAUGAGCCGGAUAUUUCAGUUUAUUGACAUUUCUACUGUAUGCUGACUUCUCACAAUGAGACUCUCAUCUGCUUAAACAAAGGUCGGGUGGAGAAAAACACCACGACAUUUUCCCAAUGUUUUUACUAACUUAGAUUAUUUAAAAGAUUAUUAGUUAUUUCUAG
ensembl:lncRNA